rnacentral:rRNA from 1 species
ACGCUCGACACCUACGGAGGCAGCAGUGGGGAAUAUUGCACAAUGGGGGAAACCCUGAUGCAGCGACGCCGCGUGGAGGAAGAAGGUCUUCGGAUUGUAAACUCCUGUUGUUGGGGAAAAAGAGGAUGGUACCCAACAAGGAAGUGACGGCUAACUACGUGUCAGCAGCCGCGGUAAUCUGAGGCGGGCUGGACAAGGC